rnacentral:lncRNA from 1 species
UUGUUUUUUCGUUUUUUUUUUCAAAAUUUUAUUUUGUUUUUCUUUCACGUUAUUAUUUAAUAAUAUAUAUUUAAGCAAUUGAACAAACCUUUGUUAUAUUUAUGCCAUAAACUACUAAAUACGUUUUUUUUUUCCAUAAUCUUAGUUUUUUUUUUUUCUUCCAUAAUCUUAGUUUGUUUUUUUCUUUGAUAAUCUUAUUUUGUUUUUCGUUAGAUGGAAAUCAUAGUUUGUUUUCUAUUUUCUCUAUUUUUUUGGUAGUGUUAUUUUCUCUAUUUAUUUGGCAAUAUAACCACCGAUCCCCAUAUGUUUUUUUUAUGGGGUCAUUUUGCUGAACAAAUGAAUAGCUAUAUGAGCACAAAUGGAAAUACUUUUACAAUUGUAGUUGUUAUGAAUCUAUGUCGACUUAAUGUUUUUGGUGGUAAUUAGAUUAUCUUUUUAAAAGUAAUUAUGUUUAAUUUCUUUGUAUUGUUAAUGAUAUAUAUCACUUAAUACCUUUGGUGUAUAGUUUUAAUAGGUAUGUAUGGGAUUGCCAAUGCAUUCAAUGAAACCAAGUUGCUUAUAAAUCCCAACAUUGAAGAAUGUUGCAACUACAAGAAAGGGUAUACACUAACCUAUCGGUAUUACACAUAUAUUAUAUACUGAUAAUUAUUGGAAUUUUUUUUUUGGUUAAGUAUGAUUUUCUUAUAUUUUACGAUAGGAUGAAAACUGGCAAUGCAUCUUUGACCCAAUUUCUUCAAUUGUUAAUAGCACAUAUCCAUCACUUUUGGAGAAUGUGAGUGAUAUUUCAUUUUUUCAAGAUAGGGCAAUUUUAGCACCAACCAAUGAUAUUGUUGAUUCACUAAACAAUUUCAUUUUAUCGAUGAUUUCUGGUGAGAAAAAAACAUACUUAAGUGCUGAUAGUCCGUCUACACAAGAUGAAAAUAUUAAUGGUCCUGAUCAAAUUCUAACUCAAAAAUUUUUGAACACCGUCAAAUCUACAGGUAUGCCAAACCAUGAGUUAAAUCUCAAGGUUGGAGUUCCAAUUAUGUUAUUGAGAAAUAUUGAUCAACCAUUAGGAUUAUGCAAUGGUACGCACCUUAUAAUUACACAAAUGGGGAAUUUCGUACUUAAGGCAAAGAUAAUAUCAGGAAACAGUAUUGGACAAAAGGUAUAUAUCCCAAGAUUGACUUUGUCUCCAUCUCCAUCUGAUACAAAACUUACUUUCACGUUUCAACAUAAACAGUUUCCUAUUAUGGUCUCAUUUGCGAUGACUAUCAAUAAGAGCCAAGGACAAUCUCUUAAAAAUGUUGGAAUAUAUCUUCCAGAACCCAUAUUUUCACACGGACAGUUAUAUGUUGCUCUUUCAAGCGUUACUUCACGUGCUGGGCUGAAGAUGCUGAUGUGCGAUGACGAAGGACGUGUCUCCAACAAAACUAAUAAUGUUGUCUACAAAGAAGUCUUUCAGAAUUUAAGAUAGGUAAUUUACACAUAUACAUAUUCGUAUAUAUUUUCUAUUUGUUUAUUGUUGCGUGCAUCUAGCUAUGUUUUUCAAAGCACUUUUAUUUAAAAUAAUGCUUUUCUUUCGAAAUAUAUAUAUAUAUAUAUAUAUAUAUAUAUAUAUAUAUAUGUGUGUGUGUGUGUGUGUGUGUGUGUGUGUGGGUGCACACGUGUUUGUAAGAAAUAAUAUUUAGAAUUUUGUUGUUGACAAAAAAAACUUAUCAACUAAAUUUGUUUCACAAAUUAACAAUAUAUUAUGCAUUUUUUUACAUUUUUAAGUUCUUUAUAAUCGUGUAUAAUCAUACAAAUUUAUUUUAUUUCAUGCCAGGUUGAUCAUCAUCUUUAUGAUGAAUUUUCAAUUUGGAAUCAGCAAAAAUCAUGGACACAAAACUUAGUUUUACCGAUUCAAUUGUUGAGAAUUGAUAUGUCUUUAUUAUCCACGAAUUUGUAUAUUAUUACUCAAGCAAAAAUUAUAUUAGUAGUUGCAUUUGGUUAUUUUUAUUUGGUUAUCCGAUGUGAUAACGAGAAUUCUAAAUUACUUCAAGUUUUUAUUGGUUUUAUUUUGGACACGUUAAUUCAUGCUCACUUACAACUAUUAUUGUUUCAUUUACGAUUACCUUAUUUAUUAAUCAAUGUCAUAUCUAACUUCCCGUGCAUCGCACGGGUCUAAAUACUAGUAACGGUAAAAUGUCACUAACAGUCACUAAACGGUAAAAUCUCAAUUUACUCUAGUAUGUUAAUGAAAUAACUAUUCUCACUAAACACUAAAAGUAAUUCUCACCCAAAACUAUAAUUUUACCCGUCCUCACCAAAUGACCAAAAUACCCUUAAGUCCAAAAUGACUAAAAUACCCUUCUAGCACGGAAACACAUAAAUUAAAAGAACGAGUAAUGUACGAGUCAAAAUCACCACACCCAUGCACAUGCAUCAUUUAUUAAAAUCCAGACGGAUAUCGAAGAAAUACAAUUGAUCAAUUAGAAACAAGGUUGUUUUAUUUAAGGUCAAAUGCAUCCAAAUGUCCUUUAAGUUUUUCGUUUUUUUAAAGUUGGACUAUUAAGUUUCAAAAGUCCCAAAUAAGUUCUUUUAGUUUCUGAAACGUUUCAAAGUCAUAUAGUUAGCGUUUGAAUUGCUGAUUUUUUUUAGUUGAUAGAAAUUUUGAACUCAAUUUCGUUUUAAAUUGAAUAGGAACACUUAAUUUUUUAUGAAAAUUAUCUUUAAUUCAUCACUAUUAUUUUGUUUUGCAUUUGAGUUUAUAUGUUUUUCGAAUGAAAAAUGAUAUUUUGACAACCAUUUUGUGACAAUCUAUGUGACAACUUUAUCUCUCAUACUCACAUUAUUUUUUACUUUCUCUCUCUAUUAAUUUGGUUUCCGUGUCACUAUCUACUUUCCUUUGUAAAUUAGUAGUUGUCACAAAAGUUGUCACUCAAUUUAUUGUUCAAAUUACACACCUCUUUUCGAAUUAUGUAUGUGAUUGCUAUGAAGAUGUCAAAUUAAACAUUAGUUGUAACGCAAGUAUAAUAUUAGGCACAGAGAGUAGAGCACACAGUAACUAUAACAGUGCUUUUAAAGUUUUUCCUUAUGAAAUUUGUUGUGUUUCAUCACAUAAUGAAACUUUCAUCACAUAAUGACUCAAACUGGUACCAGUCCCUUUUGCUGCAAAUUAGUAUAAAGAUGAGAGUAAAACUGUGCCAUAAAGAUGCAUGAUUCUUAAGUGGCAAUUUCCAAAGCCAUCUUCAAGUAGUCUUUUUCAUUAGAGUUAGAGGCCAUCACCCGUAUAGUCAAUGCAGGUACUUCCAACUAAAUGCAAAUGGACACAACGACACGUUACGAUGUCGCCGCAUGGAUUCGGCAAUGCCCGUGAACAACGCAUACCGACUCUUGCACAUUGCCCUGCUUCAACGUUCUUAAUCUGGACAAUUACUGCAAAUGGUAAAGGAAGUUAAAGUUGGAACCAAUACACAUAUCUAUGCAUAUAACGUAUAUAUUUAGGAAUGUUUGGUAUUAAAUUGAGCAUGUAGUAUACUAAUUUUU